UACUAAUCACACUAGAUUUGGGAUUUGUACCGUUGUACGUUGGGGGAAUAAGGCAUAACUUGGUGGAAGAAAAAAGCUAGUGGUGUCCUUGCCUGUUUGCGAAGGCAAAGAUUAAAAGGAGCAACUGAAUUUAUUUUACUUCAAAAUCACUUAAAAAAAAUCAAAAACAUAUCAAAAUUAUAUUCGUGUCCAAACAGAACUCUAAGUUUAAAAUAUUAUUUUUACUUAAACUUUUUGUUUUCACUUUCUUCUAAAAUUUUACAAUUCUUAUGUCCAAACGGCCACUAUAUCACGGAGAAAGUUAAUGGCUCCUUUAUUGGAUGAAAGUAAGUUGUUUAUUAACGUCUCAUUGGCGAUUAAAUAAGCCGCGAGGGUGAGAUAGAUAAAGCUAUUUUGAGGCGAGCAUAAAAACCAAGUACUGGUUGUCUCAUUCGAAGGGCAGUGAGGAAUCACCACAAUUUUUCAAAAUUGG
rnacentral:lncRNA from 1 species